rnacentral:misc_RNA from 1 species
GAAAUGCGAUAAGUAAUGUGAAUUGCAGAAUUCAGUGAAUCAUCGAAUCUUUGAACGCACCUUGCGCUCCUUGGUAUUCCUUGGAGCAUGCCUGUUUGAGUAUCAUGAAAUCUUCAAAGUAAAUCUUUUGUUAACUCAAUUGGUUUCUACUUUGGUAUUGGAGGUCUUUGCAGCUUCACACCUGCUCCUCUUUGUUCAUUAGCUGGAUCUCAGUGUUAUGCUUGGUUCCACUCGGCGUGAUAAGUUAUCUAUCGCUGAGGACACUGUAAAAGGUGGCCAAGGUAAAUGCAGAUGAACCGCUUCUAAUAGUCCAUUGACUUGGACAAUACUUUUAUUAUCUGAUCUCAAAUCAGGUAGGACUACCCGCUGAACUUAAGC